AAACCUUAUCCUCAUUUCCCUUGUACUCACACAUCACCAUCUUCUUCCCUUUCUCACUCCACCGUUUCAUUCCUCUACAGCAAACUCUGCAAUUUUCUCAUCAUCCAAACAUAACACAGAAAAUGAAAAGAAAAAUGCAUCACUGACAACACCCAUCAACACAAAAUGGCAUUUUCUCACACUGCUAAACUAUCAGAGUUUCAAAUUCCUCUCAAACCAUCAUCAGUGUCACACUCUCUCAACUCUUCCACUCUCACCCAUCUCUCUCUCUCUAAUUCUAAAUCCUCAUUUCGCACUCUCACUCUCUCUUCUCUCCGAACCACCAACAAGUCCUCACCAAAACCCAACCUUUCCGCCCCUUGGCUUACCAAAACGCCCUCUCCCAACCCUUCUCCCAAAAGGGUCUCCGAAUCCACCGCCGACGACCCAAUUCACCGGAAAAACGAUAAAGGGAAAAACGCCGUCGAGAGAAUCGUUCUACGGUUACGGAACCUGGGUUUAGUUUCAGAAGAAGAAGAGCAACAAGAAGAAGAGGUUGAGGUCAACAAUGUGUUACCGGUGACCGGAGAAGAGAGGCUAGGGGAGUUGCUGAAGCGAGAAUGGGUUCGGCCAGAUGCUAUGUUGGUUAGUGAUGAUGAUGAAGAGGAAGAGAGUGAGGAAACGGUGUUACCAUGGGAGAGAGAGGAAGAGAAGAAGGCGGUGGUUGUGAGUGUGGGUGAAGAGGGGUUGAGGAAGAGAAGGGUAAAUGCUCCGUCUUUGGCUGAGUUGACUCUUGAGGAUGAGUUGUUGAGGAGGUUGAGGAGAGAAGGGAUGCGUGUGAGAGAGAGGGUUAGUGUCCCCAAAGCUGGUCUCACUCAGGAUGUGAUGGAUAAGAUUCAUGAGAGGUGGAGGAAGGAGGAGUUGGUGAGACUCAAGUUUCAUGAGGAACUUGCAAGGGACAUGAAGAAGGCUCAUGAGAUUGUUGAGCAUCGAACAGGAGGGUUGGUUACCUGGAGGUCGGGAAGUGUUAUGAUGGUGUAUCGUGGUACUGAUUACCAAGGGCCCGACUCGCGGAAAGAGCUCAAUGAAAAGGAAGGUGGUGACUUUUUUGUGCCGAAUGUCUCGUCAGCAAGUUUGUUGAAAACUGAAGAUGGUAAUGCAACUUCAUCCGUGGAGAAGAAUGAGCCGGUUGUGAGGAAUAGAGAACAGCCUGAGAACAUGAAAGAGGCAGAAGCAGAGUACAAUGCUCUACUUGAUGGUUUAGGUCCUCGUUUUGUUGGAUGGUGGGGUACAGGAAUACUUCCUGUUGAUGCUGAUUUACUUCCCCGGACAGUUCCAGGUUACAAAACACCUUUUAGGCUUCUUCCUACCGGAAUGCGUUCUCGGCUAACAAAUGCAGAGAUGACUAAUUUAAGAAAUCUUUCAAAAUCACUUCCUUGUCAUUUUGCCUUGGGGAGAAAUAGAAAUCACCAAGGUCUGGCAUGUGCUGUUCUUAAGCUUUGGGAGAAAAGUUUAGUUGCAAAGAUUGCUGUCAAACCUGGGAUUCAGAACACAAACAAUAAAUUAAUGGCUGAAGAGCUGAAGAUGUUAACAGGAGGUACCUUGCUGCUAAGGAAUAAAUAUUUCAUUGUUAUAUAUCGUGGGAAGGACUUUCUUCCAACAAGUGUGGCGGCAGUUCUAGCUGAAAGAGAGGAAUUGACAAAACAGGUACAGGAUGUCGAAGACAAGGUUAGGUGUGGAGCAGUUGACGCAAUUCUGUCAAGGCAAGGUGAAGGAAUAGCACCAGCCGGAUCUCUAGCAGAGUUUUAUGAGGCCCAGGCUCGAUGGGGAAGGGAUGUAUCUGCUGAAGAACGUGAGAAGAUGGUGGAAGAAGCUGCCAAAGCCAAGACUGUUAAGCUUGUCAGACAAAUCGAACACAAACUAUUCGUUGCCCAAGACAAAAAGCAAAGAGCAGAAAAGCUUUUAGCCAAGAUAGAAGCAUCUAUGGUUCCAGCUGGUCCUGAUUAUGACCAGGAAACAAUCACAGAUGAAGAACGAGUUAUGUUCCGCAGGGUUGGUUUAAGAAUGAAGCCGUACUUACCACUUGGUGUACGUGGUGUUUUUGAUGGUGUUGUUGAGAAUAUGCAUUUGCAUUGGAAACACCGAGAACUUGUAAAAUUGAUAACAAAACAGAAGACUCUUGCUUUUGUUGAGGACACAGCAAGGUUACUAGAAUAUGAGACUGGUGGAAUAUUGGUGGCAAUAGAGAGAGUACCCAAAGGGUUUGCUCUUAUUUACUAUCGUGGAAAGAAUUAUAAACGACCCAUUACCCUGAGGCCUAGAAACCUUCUAACAAAAGCAAAGGCAUUAAAGCGUUAUGUAGCCAUGCAACGCCAUGAGGCUUUGAGUCAGCAUAUUACUGAAUUGGAAAAAAAUAUAGAACAAAUGAAUGAAGAACUUGGUUUGACUCAAGAUUCAGAUGUUGAAGAUGGGUGGAGCGAAGAGGAAGAGGAUCGUAACCAAAUUGAUAACAUCUCAGAAUUCACCCUGGUAAGAUACUCCUCAUAUCUGUUCAUUCUCGUAUCUGCUUUUUUUUUUUUGGGAAGGUUAGGUUUUUGCCAAUUUACUACUAUUUCUAAACGGUAGCUCUAACCUCUGGCAUUUAUAACUUCCUUGUACUUGUAGUUCAGUUUCUCAUAUAGAAACUAAGGUGUAAGAUUUGGACUCUAGUCUAAACAUGUUUAAUAUGAAGUGUGAUACUAUUUAUAAUACUAAUUUGCUUGUCAGCUGAAAGUGGGUAAGGAGGAGAAAGAUUGACAGAAAGAACAUAUGAACAAAAAUAGUUUUUCAUUACAAUGACAAUUAAUUUGGCCACUUGUUAAUUUGCAGACCGAGGAUGAAGAUUCGGAUGGUUUUGAUGAUGAGGAAGACACUGAUUGGGAAGAUGACGAGGACUCUUGAGAUUUCAAAAUUUAUAGAUGAUGAGCAUCCUUGAAGGCUGGCAACCAUAUUUGCGUUGAAGUUUCCUGGAUAGCAUCUUCCAUUGCCUGCAGCUAGAAGAGCUGAAAGUAUGGAGUUUAACUUUUCCAAAUUUCUACAAAGAUGUGCCAACAUAUCAUUUUGUGGUCCUGCAUCAGCAAAAUCCGUCAUCAAUUGUCUAAUUGCCUCUGGCUUUUCAUUUGAAUGGCACUUGAUCUUUCACCGCUAUUUGGAAUAGUAUCCUUUUAGGAUGCCGGAUGAGUUUAGAGCAGCAUGGACAAACACUAUGCUGUAUAUGAAGUCUGCUGAUUUAGUUGAUCUGAUUAUUGUAAAUCCUUCAUCACAUUGUAAUAGGCUAUAUGGUCAACUAUGAUCCUUUUCUUGUAUUUACUAUUGUGAUACUAUGCUUUAUCUAGAUUUUUUUAUAUUCAAUUCCUUGGAGUGGACAAUAAAUAAAUGUAUCAUGUCGAUGAAAUGGGAUAAGCGGCACAAUUUUGG